GGAAGUGGCCAUUUCAUAAAACAUUUGGAUUGCUCUGUUUCCCUUGGAAAUGUUGGUAUUUCGCGGAGCAGUACUUUGAGAUGAUCUACCAGACCUCCAUGUGCUUAUUUCUGUAUGGAAUUCAUAUGCCUCACUCCCGAGCAGUUUCCCCAGCAGCAUAGGAUGGCAGCGUUAGUUCUUUACCCUGACCGACUCUCAGAAGAUGAUUCGUGACUUUGUGCCCUACAGUAACUUAGCAAUAAAGGUUCUCUUUCCCUUUCCCUGUA